rnacentral:rRNA from 1 species
GAUGAACGCUGGCGGCGUGCCUAAUACAUGCAAGUCGAGCGAACAGAUGAGGCGCUUGCUCCUCUGACGUUAGCGGCGGACGGGUGAGUAACACGUGGAUAACCUCCCUAUAAGACUGGGAUAACUUCGGGAAACCGGCGCUAAUACCGGAUAAUAUAUUGAACCGCAUGGUUCAAUAGUGAAAGACGGUUUUGCUGUCACUUAUAGAUGGAUCCGCGCCGCAUUGGCUAGUUGGUAAGGUAACGGCUUACCACGGCAACGAUGCGUAGCCGACCUGAUAGGGGGGUAGGCCACCUUGGAACGGAGACACGGUCCAUGGUCCUGCGGGAGGGAGCAGUAGGGAACGGGCCGCAGUGGGCGAAAGCCUGGCGGAGCAGCGCCGCGUGAGUGAUGGAGGUCUUCGGAGCGGAAAACUCUGUUAUGAGGGAAGAACAAAUGUGGAAGUAACUAUGCACGGCUUGACGGUACCUAAUCAGAAAGCCACGGCUAACUACGUG